rnacentral:rRNA from 1 species
AGAUUGAACGCUGGCGGCGUGCUUAACACAUGCAAGUCGAGCGGUAACAGGCGUAGCAAUACGUGCUGACGAGCGGCGAACGGGUGCGUAAUACAUGGGAAUCUGCCCUUUGGUGGGGAAUAACCCGGCGAAAGCCGGGCUAAUGCCGCAUAAGAUCUUCGGAUGAAAGCGGGGGAUCGUAAGACCUCGCGCCGAUGGAUGAGCCCAUGUCGGAUUAGCCAGUUGGUGAGGUAACGGCUCACCAAGGCGACGAUCCGUAGCUGGUCUGAGAGGACGGCCAGCCACACUGGGACUGAGACACGGCCCAGACUCCGUACGGGAGGCAGCGAGGUAGGGGAAUAGUUGGAACAAGUGGGGGAAACCCUGGACUCCAGGCGACGCCGCGUGUGUGAAGAAGGCUGCGGUUAGAAAGCACUUUCGAUAGGGAAACG